GGAGAGGUGGCAGAGUGGUCGAAUGCGGCGGUCUCGAAAACCGUUAGGCCCGUAAGGGUCUCGUGGGUUCAAAUCCUACCCUCUCCG
rnacentral:tRNA from 1 species